CACCGCUCGGAGCAGCCCAGACUCGGUCGGGUUCCAGGGCCAGAAGUCGCCAUUGUUCCGUGAGCGACGAUUUCAUCUCUAGGGACACGCAGCAGCGUCAGAACUCGAACGCAGGUCCAGGCCACAGAGGCAAGGCCGCUGCUGCCGGGGUCCGGUUUCAGGCCUGGGGGUCACGGGAGAUCGCCGCGGCACACCCACCUCUCCCGGGCCAGGGGCUCCGAGGCAGAGGGACGGCUUAGGAAGGGGCCCUGCGGCCCCAGGAGCGGACUGGAAGGAGAGGCUUCUCCGGGAGACUAGCCUGCGCGGGCACGGCUCGCGACCCGGGAUCAUCCCGGAACAGACUCGAGGGUCACUGUUUGGCGCGGGGAAGGCGGGCGCCCCCUCCCGCUCCGCCCGCGAACCGCAGCUCCGCGCAGGUGUUUUGUCCCCGCUGAGUUGCCGCACCUCCGCUCCCUGCUCGAGUGAGCCCAAAAGGGCUUGGCGAGAGUGAGCCGACGGUCAGCGUUCACAGCCCCGAACCUUCCGCGGCUGCCUUCUUCCGCUGCCCACAGAUUUCACAGCCGUUUCCAGACACAGGAAUGCUUUUGAUGCAGCAACAUCCUCCACAGCCCUGGAAGACACGGUCUCGGCCUCAGGGAACUUGUAGGUCCAGUAACGAGGAUGAUGUGAAGAUCCGAUUCACAGUGGAAAGACCUUCACACAGGCCAUGACAAACACAAGUAUAUGGAUAUCUCCUUUGAAAUGUCCUCUGUACACAGGAGCUGUGCACCCCUUCUCUUCUCCCUUUAUAAUAUAUCCUGGAGAUGGCCUAACAUCAGCACAGGUAGAUCCCGGGCAUUCUUUUAGAAUGGCUGCCUGGGGUUCUGGUAUGCAGCACACCAUAAUUAUUCAAUCAGUCUUCCACUAAAGGAUAUCGAGGUUGUUUCCGUUCUUUUGCUGUUGCAAACAAUUCAGUGAACAUCUGUGUGUACGUGUUUGGAGUACAUGUGCAACUGUGUCUAUAGGAUAAAUUCCUAGCAGUGGAGUUGUCUUGAUGAAGAAUAUUUGCAUUAUUAAUUUGAUAGAUCUUGCCAGUUAAAGGUAGCACCAAGUCGUACUCUCCUCAGUGACUACUCCCCAUCCCCCACUUUGUUAACAAUAAGUUUACUGAGCUUUUAAAAAUACUAUUUGCCAACGUGAAAGAUGGAAAAGUAGCAUGUCAUUGGGGCUGGGACGCAGUGGUUGAGAAUCCGCCUGCCAAUGCAGGGGAUAUGGGUUCGAGCCCUGGUCCGUUGCAGAGCAACGAAGCCCGUGCGCCACAAUUAACUGAGCCUGCGCUCUAGAGCUCGUAGGCCACAGCUACUAAGCCCGCGUGCUGCAACUACUGAAGCCCACGCCCCUAGAGCCCGUGCUCUGCAACAAGAGAAACCACCGCAAUGAGAAGCCCGCGCACCACAACGAAGAGUAGCCCCCCGGCUCGCUGCAACUAGAGAAAGCCUGUGUGCAGCAAUGAAGACCCAACGCAACCAAAAAUAAAUAAAUAAAUAAUCAAUUUAUUUUUUAAAAGGCAGCAUGUCAUUGUUUU